UACGUAGGGUGCAAGCGUUGUCCGGAAUUAUUGGGCGUAAAGAGCUCGUAGGCGGUCUGUCGCGUCUGCUGUGAAAACUCGGGGCUUAACCCCGGGCCUGCAGUGGGUACGGGCAGACCAGAGUGCGGUAGGGGAGACUGGAAUUCCUGGUGUAGCGGUGAAAUGCGCAGAUAUCAGGAGGAACACCGGUGGCGAAGGCGGCAUCCUGGACCGGUAUUGACGCUGAGGCGCGAAAGCUAGGGGAGCAAACGGG
rnacentral:rRNA from 1 species